UGGGGGCCGGGACGAGCUUUAAUUUAAUAGAAAUCGCAUCGCGUCACCCGUACAGUCACGUGCGGCCGCCGGAAACGCCCCCACCCCUCCCAACAACCCCCCCGCGGCACCGGGCCCGGCCCUCAGCCCGGCCCCCUCUCCCCAACCACCCCUCUCCUCCCCCGCCGCUCCCGUCCCGGUGCCGUUCCUGAGUCCUCGGUCCCGGGGGGGGGGGGGGUGGGGAGGGAGGGACCGCGGCCGGGACGCCCGUAAAAAACAAAGUCCAGGUCUCACAGAGACAUUACACGGGGCCGGGGCCGGGGGGGGCGCUUACAGCUCGUCCUUGGGGGCCCCCCCGGCCUCCUCCUCCUUCUCAGCCUCGUCCUCUUCGUCCUCUUCGUCCUCCUCGUCGUCCCCGUCGCCGUCCUCGUCCCCCUCCUCCUCUUUCCUCUGCUUGUCCUCCUCUUCCUGCUUCUGGCGCUGCUCUUCGUCCUGCUGCUCCUUCAUCUUCCUCUCAGCCUCCUUGGUGGCCCCCCAGGUCUCGUUGCCAAACUCCUCAGCAAACUUCUCAUCAUCGGUGAUAAGGAAGUUGUCAAAGAUGGUUCCAGAUUUCACCU
rnacentral:lncRNA from 1 species